GUUAGUUUAAUCUUAUUUAUUUUUAGGGGUAUAGUAACUAAAACCAAGCGCUUGCAACACGGCUGCUAACACAAAGUUGAACGGCUUAUUGUAGUGGGGAAGAAAGUAAACGUCUACUAAACCCAGUUCACUGAUCAACAUUUUCUUCUGUACUGCUAAAGCAAUAUAGAAGAUAAUUUCACUGUGGUUGGUGUUUCACGAAAGUAAUUGGGCACCCAACAAACGGAGCGUCUUCUUGUCGUAAAUUAACUUAAAGCGCACCUUGUCAAAGGUCCCCAUAAAUUCGGGACGGUCGUUGUCAUCAACAAUGCUCACUCCCACAUCAAAACCGUUCAUUUUGGCACGUUUUUCGGUUAAACCAGUAGCUGCUAGAUUUAAACCAAAUACGUGCAGCGCAUUGGUACCAACAAUGGACUCUAACUUUACAGCCUUGCUACCAAUCAUGUGCAUAGCAGCGACUAAACCACUUUUCACAGCGUUGGUAGCUAAGUCAAUGUUUUCGUAUUGUUCACUAGCUGCAUCAUAAAUGGCAGCAGC
rnacentral:sRNA from 1 species